GAUGAACGCUGGCGGCGUGCCUAAUACAUGCAAGUCGAGCGAACAGACGAGGAGCUUGCUCCUCUGACGUUAGCGGCGGACGGGUGAGUAACACGUGGAUAACCUACCUAUAAGACUGGGAUAACUUCGGGAAACCGGAGCUAAUACCGGAUAAUAUAUUGAACCGCAUGGUUCAAUAGUGAAAGACGGUUUUGCUGUCACUUAUAGAUGGAUCCGCGCCGCAUUAGCUAGUUGGUAAGGUAACGGCUUACCAAGGCAACGAUGCGUAGCCGACCUGAGAGGGGGGACCGCCACAACUGGAACGAGAAAACGGUCCAGACUCCUACGGAGGGCAGCAGUGGGGAAUCUUCCGCAAUGGCGAAAGCCUGACGGAGCAACGCCGCGUGAGUGAUGAAGGUCUUCGGAUCGUAAAACUCUGUUAUUAGGGAAGAACAAAUGUGUAAGUAACUAUGCACGUCUUGACGGUACCUAAUCAGAAAGCCACGGCUAACUACGUG
rnacentral:rRNA from 1 species